AACGAACGCUGGCGGCAUGCCUAACACAUGCAAGUCGAACGAAGCCUUCGGGCUUAGUGGCGCACGGGUGCGUAACGCGUGGGAAUCUGCCCUUGGGUUCGGAAUAACAGUUAGAAAUGACUGCUAAUACCGAAUGAUGUCUUCGGACCAAAGAUUUAUCGCCCAAGGAUGAGCCCGCGUCGGAUUAGCUAGUUGGUGAGGUAAAGGCUCACCAAGGCGACGAUCCGUAGCUGGUCUGAGAGGAUGAUCAGCCACACUGGGACUGAGACACGGCCCAGACUCCUACGGGAGGCAGCAGUGGGGAAUAUUGGACAAUGGGCGAAAGCCUGAUCCAGCAAUGCCGCGUGAGUGAUGAAGCCUUAGGGUUGUAAAGACUCUUUUACCCGGGAUGAUAAUGACAGUACCGGGAGAAUAAGCCCCGGCUAACUCCGUGCCAGCAGCC
rnacentral:rRNA from 1 species